GCUAUGCGGUCGAAGCAUUGGAGAAGGUUGUCGCUUUUUAUCAGGUGAGUAAUAAACAUCUCAUGGAAUAAAAAAUACGUUAUAUUGGGUAACUUUGAAAACCUAGAAGAUUGUGUUUUGAUGAAAUAUAUGACUUGGCGAUAUAUUAGAAUCUGGUGAAUUGAAAUAUCCCGCCAGAAGUACCGUGAAGAUUUCUGAGGUAAUGUUAAUGUGCGAUCCAUUAAGCGUGUAACGUUGAGUUAACGAUUUAGAAAUGUCAGUGAGUAAUGUUAGUUUUGCAAUUAAUAUUCGGAUAAAAUAAAAAUGCCCUCAUUUGAAUCUCUUUACCGAUGCUAUGCGACAAAGCGAAACAUACCCAUAAUUAUAAUUCAUAAUUUGAUACACACUGAUGAAGUGUUCUAAAAUGUCCUGGUAGAAGGUCCACUGUGUCAAGCAGGACCGGUCCACUGUGUCAAGCAGAACCAGCCCACACUACUAAAGAAUUCUUACAAACAAAUUGAUGUCAACAAUGAAUAUGGAUGGCUCAGGGCUGAAGAAGGCCUUUGGAAAACACGGCUAUGUCGUGUUAUAAUAGGUGCACUACAGCAGUCCAAACCUUCAUUAUCAGAGGCUGAAAUAAAAAAAUACAGCUAAAAAAUCUCCGGUCUGCUCCCGAUAGAUGUGGGGGUAUGGGACGACAAUAGGGGAAAUCUGCGAUUGAUGUGUGUUCAGAUUCUGAAUAAGUAGGCCUUAAGCCAAUUGUUUAUCAAAAUUAUUUUUGUUCAUUUGGGAUAUGAUCUGGGAAAACCCAUCACAUGGUGAAAUAAAAAAUACUGGUUUUAGUAUCAUAUGAAAGCUAUUAAGCCCUUUCCAAAACUGUUUUUAUUUAAUUUACAAAUUGUUUUUAUGGAGUGGGUGGUCUAGUGGGUUAAACCACUGAACUGGUAAAUCAAAAGGUUGCUGGUUCUAUCCUAGUAGCCACCACCAGUGUGUUGCUCAAGGGGGAUUGUCCCUGUAAUAAGUGCACUGUAAGUCGCUUUGGAUAAAAGCAUCUGCUAAAUAACUACACGUAAAUGUAAAUGUUUUUAACAAAUGGAAAGGGCUUGAGAGCUUUCAUAUGAUAUCAAAACCUGUAAUAUGUACAAUUUUGUCAUGUGAUGGCUUUUUCCAGAUCACUUAAUAUUUAUAUAUUAAUUUAAAUGUUAAUAUUUAAUUUAAAUGUAAUUCAAGGAGGAUUUUAUAUUUAUUAGUGGUUUAAGAACAUUUUAAAUUUCUGGAAUUGUAGCUGAUUGUAUUUAAUAAAACAUGUCUUACAUUAA